rnacentral:rRNA from 1 species
UUAAAUUGAAGAGUUUGAUCAUGGCUCAGAUUGAACGCUGGCGGCAGGCCUAACACAUGCAAGUCGAACGGUAACAGGAAGAAGCUUGCUUCUUUGCUGACGAGUGGCGGACGGGUGAGUAAUGUCUGGGAAACUGCCUGAUGGAGGGGGAUAACUACUGGAAACGGUAGCUAAUACCGCAUAACGUCGCAAGACCAAAGAGGGGGACCCUCGGGCCUCUUGCCAUCGGAUGUGCCCAGAUGGGAUUAGCUUGUUGGUGGGGUAACGGCUCACCAAGGCGACGAUCCCUAGCUGG